AGGACGAACGCUGGCGGCGUGCUUAACACAUGCAAGUCGAGCGGAAAGGCCCUUCGGGGUACUCGAGCGGCGAACGGGUGAGUAACACGUGAGCAACCUGCCCCUGGCUCUGGGAUAGCCUUCGGAAACGGGGAUUAAUACCGGAUAUUCACUGCUUCCUGCAUGGGGGGUGGGUGGAAAGUUUUUCGGCUGGGGUGGGGCUCGCGGCCUAUCAGCCCCUUGUUGGGGGGUGACGGCCCACCAAGGCGACGACGGGUAGCCGGCCUGAGAGGGCGACCGGCCACACUGGGACUGAGACACGGCCCAGACUCCUACGGGAGGCAGCAGUGGGGAAUAUUGCGCAAUGGGCGAAAGCCUGACGCAGCAACGCCGCGUGGAGGACGAAGGCUUUCUGAGUUGUAAACUCCUUUCAGCAGGGACGAUUGUGCGGUACCUGCAGAAGAAGCACCGGCCAACUACGUGCCAGCAGCCGC
rnacentral:rRNA from 1 species